rnacentral:rRNA from 1 species
UACAGAGGGUGCGAGCGUUAAUCGGAAUUACUGGGCGUAAAGCGCGCGUAGGCGGCUUUUCAAGUCGAUUGUGAAAUCCCCGGGCUUAACCUGGGAACUGCAGUCGAGACUGUCUAGCUAGAGUAUGGGAGAGGGAAGUGGAAUUUCAGGUGUAGCGGUGAAAUGCGUAGAUAUCUGAAGGGACAUCAGUGGCGAAAGCGACUUCCUGGACCAAUACUGACGCUCAUGUGCGAAAGCGUGGGGAGCAAACAGG